rnacentral:rRNA from 1 species
AUUGAACGCUGGCGGCAGGCCUAACACAUGCAAGUCGAGCGGAUGACGGGAGCUUGCUCCUUGAUUCAGCGGCGGACGGGUGAGUAAUGCCUAGGUAUCUGCCUGGUAGUGGGGGACAACGUUUCGAAAGGAACGCUAAUACCGCAUACGUCCUACGGGAGAAAGCAGGGGACCUUCGGGCCUUGCGCUAUCAGAUGAGCCUAGGUCGGAUUAGCUAGUUGGUGGGGUAAUGGCUCACCAAGGCGACGAUCCGUAACUGGUCUGAGAGGAUGAUCAGUCACACUGGAACUGAGACACGGUCCAGACUCCUACGGGAGGCAGCAGUGGGGAAUAUUGGACAAUGGGCGAAAGCCUGAUCCGGCCAUGCCGCGUGUGUGAAGAAGGUCUUCGGACUGUAAAGCACUUUAAGUUGGGAGGAAGGGCAGUAAGUUAAUACCUUGCUGUUUUGACGUUACCGACAGAAUAAGCACCGGCUAACUCUGUGCCAGCCGCCGCAGUAA